UAAGGUUUGAUACAAAAAGGUGAAGCUGGUCAAUAACCCACGAGCUAAGCUUCUAUUUACAAGACUGGGGUUCAUUACUACACUACUCUACUUCUCGAUCUCUUUGGGGUGAGCCGUCACCCUACAUUUAGUCUUGACGGAAGACCCGUUAUCACUUGGAAGGAGAUAGCGAGAGUCCUACUCUUCCUUUACUACGACUGACUGUACACGAACUAGCCUUUCUCCAUCUAGGGACCUGAAAAAUUUUAGCCCAUAAUGGGGUGAGAUCACAUUUCAGCGAGUUAAUCCUCUAAAUCCCGAGUAGGAGAAUGGUACAUCUUGCAUGCAAUCUAGUUACGUUUCUUACCACUCUUUUAAUGUCAGCAAGUUCCUGCAUAUUAGUAUCAAUUAAAACAUACCUAAUAGUAUCGAGUUCACACAUCAUAGGAAUACUUUAAUAUGAGUAUAUGCAAGGAAAUGAAUAUCAAUGUAAGCAUACAGGCCACGGUUAAUGCAACAAAUAACAGUCUUCCGGCAUAACAAGGCUUCGCCUCGCACCGUCGAGCGCGGCAACGUCUACACUCAGACAUCAUUUCGAUUAGGAGCAUCGGUCCAGCAUCCACUGCAACCGGCAUCUAUUGACUUGGGGCAUUCCCGAAGGAGCAUCGUCCGGCCUCAAGGCUCGUGACGGAUUCUCAUGUCGUGUAUGCAUUCAUUAAAUGCCACAGUUCAACGCUUAAUUUCACAACUCAUUUACAACAUCAAUUAAACAAUUUUUACAAUAAGAAACAUCCCAAAACAGUUAUGAAUUUCCACUAACCAGAAUUAACAGAAAUUGUUCAAUUGCGCAUCUUCAGAUUCAAGGGCAGAAACCAACUCAUAUGAGUUCAAAAAAUUCUAAAAUAUGAACAAGUUCUAAAAGACAUGUAAACAAAAAUUUUUCAUGAAGACACUAAAGCCCAGAUCCCUCUAGAUUCGGCCCAGUAAUUCACGCAACUCAGCACAAAAAUCGGGUUCGUCUACAGCGGUUCUGUUUUCCGAAAUCAGCUUGGUUCGGGGUCCGAAACAAGUCCGUUUGAUUUAAAAUUUGAGUAUGUUAAAUUAAAAGACAUGAAAAAUAACUUUUGUGAAGACAUUGUUUGAAGAUUCGAACUCUAAAUGUUGGUAAAGACCCGUAGAAUCCUUACCGGUCAAAAUUUUCAGUGCAGUCUAACUCUCUGUUUAAAGCAAACGAAGCUAAAAUCGUCUUCUUUUUAGUUUUUAAAAAUUAUGGAAAAAUUAUAUGUUAUACUUGAAGAUGUUUAAAACAUUUCUUCAGAAGGAAAUUUCUUUAAAAUCAUAACACGUAUCAGUCUAUAAAAAUAACAAAUCACGCACGUCUAGAAAAUAAUUUUAAGAAACAGCCCCUAUCUUUGGCCGAAUCAUCCUCUACGAUUCUUAUCUUGUCCUUUAAAUCACAACUAAGAAUCUCUAUGGCUAAUUUAAUAUUUCUAACUAACAGCCAUCCAUAAGUAAUAUUAUCUACACAUUUCUUACUUGUAUGGAUUCUUAGAUAGAGGUACACAACCCCUAAUCCGGUUUUAGAUGACAACUCACCUAUUUGGAACUAACGGCGGCUCUCACUUGUGGCUAGACCGCAGCACCUAGACAAGCCUUGAGUCUCUUGAUGGUGAGUUGAAGCCAGAACGGCAGUUGGGGUUGCCGUUGGGCGACCACAACAUCAGCACUUGUAGAGGGAGGAAAACAUGAAGCUUGGCUGGCU
rnacentral:lncRNA from 1 species